rnacentral:rRNA from 1 species
GACGAACGCUGGCGGCGUGCUUAACACAUGCAAGUCGAACGGAAAGGCCCUGCUUUUGUGGGGUGCUCGAGUGGCGAACGGGUGAGUAACACGUGAGUAACCUGCCCUUGACUUUGGGAUAACUUCAGGAAACUGGGGCUAAUACCGGAUAGGAGCUCCUGCUGCAUGGUGGGGGUUGGAAAGUUUCGGCGGCUGGGGGUGGACUCGCGGCUUAUCAGCUUGUUGGUGGGGUAGUGGCUUACCAAGGCUUUGACGGGUAGCCGGCCUGAGAGGGUGACCGGCCACAUUGGGACUGAGAUACGGCCCAGACUCCUACGGGAGGCAGCAGUGGGGAAUAUUGCACAAUGGGCGGAAGCCUGAUGCAGCAACGCCGCGUGCGGGAUGACGGCCUUCGGGUUGUAAACCGCUUUCGCCUGUGACGAAGCGUGAGUGACGGUAAUGGGUAAAGAAGCACCGGCUAACUACGUG